CCUGCAGGUUCCCUGAAGCUGUUACAGGAAUGAGAACUAAUGUUUUAGAUGAAGUAAAAUGUAUGGUUCAGGGUAGGGAGUCUCAGAACCACAGGAAGAGAGGCACAGAGGCUGCUGUCUGGUUUUAAGAAUGCAGUCCCGCAUCUCUGACAAGCGGAGUCCCUCUGUGAAUCUGGUCAACAGUUCUGCUGGGCACGGGGGUGCAGCUACACCGGACAAGAUCUAGGCAGGAGCUGCCUCCACAGCCUAAUGGGUGGGACCCAGCACGGGAGGGAGCAACGUGCCGCCAUGGCCACCAAGCCCCAAACCUACCAGACCCUGGAAAUCUGAGAGUCUCAUGUGGCAGCCAGUGGCACUGCAGCUACUGGAGCCAGUAACACAUGCCUCAGCACGGACUUUCCCAGCAUCCUGCCCGACCUGUGGCCAACACUCCCUCCGAUCUCCAGGCUCCUUCUGGCUGCUGAGAUGGUGAGGGAAGGAGGACAGGCUAUCUUGUCCCUCUCUAGCUGCCAAAAUCCCAAGGUGUCAGGCCCUGCACAGACUCUGGAGAAGAGGCAGAGAACCUGAAGCAGAGUGAAUGGGUCUGGGGCAAAGCUGGAACCUAAAUGCAGGUCUCCAAAGAUCCAGCUCAGUUUUAGCCACAAGAUCCAUGCCUGCCCUCCAAGAUUGUCCUUUCUGAGACAGGAUUCUGCCAGGCUUGAGUGUGGUUCAUGCCCUGGUAAUACUGAGCAAUGACAGUGUCUCCCAAGCAGCUCUGGGACUACAGAGGGAGGAGAAGGCAGUCACAGUGGAACAGAUCAGCACAAAGACCAGACAGACCCUGUGUUACGUCUCAGCUCUGUGUUCUUGGGCAACCCUGGCACAGGAUGCAGUCUGUCUGACUCACAAGGACUCACCCCCUCCCUCCCCUCCUCUACCUAAACGAAACUGAUUAAGAUGCAGUGAGAGACGCACCUAAAACUCUCCAGAUAAGGGUGAUAAGAGUGAACAACUGCCCUAGGUCUCAUUUACAUCCGAGAUGGAACCAGAUGACCAUUCAUUUACAUGAGAGAUGGAAAACAGAAAGCCUGAAGCAGAGACUGCAGUGAAUUCUGGGACCAGAGAAGCAGGAGAGCACUGCAUGAUGGGGAAUCUGUGCUUCCAAUGUUAAUCAACCCAUGUUCACACACACCCAGCUCAGCAUUUAUCAGACCCGUUCUAAUCUGGAUUUGCUAAGGACUUUUCUCCCCCCAGACACACACACACACAGCUCUAAGUUUAAUAGGCAUCUCGGGCCGUACAUUCCCCGGUCCCACUAUGGGAGGCCUAUUUAAACCUGAUUGACUAAAACUCAGUUGCCGGGUUAGGGAAUGCUGAGGCAAGAGACCGAGUCCGAGGGGGUAUGGGCAACAUUUGAACAAUGGUUAAGGGUUCAUCACAGCAUCCAGCCUGCUGGAGCCCUAAUCCCAGGUGUUGUCGUAUCUUUCCCGAGACGACUGGUGGAAGUCCUCUCCACAAAAGGUUAUGAGCACCCCAAUAAUUGCUUUAGAUCUGGAAAAGUCAUGCUAAGCUGAGGCUUGUGCACAACAAGUAAAAAUCCCAAAUCCUGAUGCUGCAAGCUAUCUAUUGUUCCUGAAGAAACCAUAAGAUAUCCCAUCAGUAUAUCUGCCAUCCAGAGGAAUCUCAAGCUGGCUCCCAAGUAUUUGGGUUACUCCCUAAUCUUAAGUGUUUCCUGAUUAUCAAUCAGUUUCCUGAGAUGGUCCAAACCAGUUAACCCUUUGUCAAUAGAAAAGACAAUGAUUUACACUACUGAGGGUGCUUCGAAGCAGCUGAAUUGAGGGUAUAAAAAUCUGUAAGUGUGUGUGCUUAAAAAGAGAAAAAAAAGAGAGAAAGAAAGAAGCAGCAGCAGGAGGAAAGGAGAAGAAGAGGAAAAGAAAAGAAGAAGAAAACUCCUGUGCUGACACCAUCCCCUGUCAUUCUUGGGACGCUGGAAGAACAGAUCGUCUCUCUCUUCAAGGAUUGUGCUACGGACUGUGCCUGUCAGCUUUGCAGCCUGAGUACCGUGGACUAGGUGAGAUCCCAGCAUUUUCUCUCUUCCGUCUAGGCAUAAACUUCUGAACCUGAACUGUAUUAGUUAAGCUUGAGCUACGUUUCCCCAAAUACUUAGUGAAACCAGAGUAGUAUUGUCAUUGUUUGUGUUUGUUUUUCUUUAGCAUGUCUAUUACUACUAGUACUAUUAUAUAUUUCAUAUGCUUAGCAAUAAAUAACUUUUAUAGGCAAA